GAUUUGUCUGGUUUAUUCCGAUAACGAGCGAGACUCUGGCCUACUAACUAGUCCGAGCAUUGCCAUUGUGCUCGCCGACUUCUUAGAGGGAUUCGUGGUGUUCAGCCACAAGAAAUUGAGCAAUAACAGGUCUGUGAUGCCCUUAGAUGUCCGGGGCUGCACGCGUGCUACACUGGCAAAAUCAGCGUGCUUGUGCUCUGCCGAAAGGCUUGGGCUAAACCCUUGAAAAUUUGCCGUGAUUGGGAUCGGAGCUUGCAAUUAUUCUCCGUGAACGAGGAAUUUCUAGUAAGUGCGAGUCAUCAACUCGCGUUGAUUACGUCCCUGCCCUUUGUA
rnacentral:rRNA from 1 species